UAUUGGAGGAUCUGAUAAAAAGGAGCCUAAGCGUUGGCUGAUUUGAAAAAGGUUGGAUAAAGAGAAAGGAUUGUGCUCCCUAACUAUGCCUUCAGCUCCAGCCACCUCUCUAAAGGGGAAUUGUUGGGCAGGAGCAGAGGGGUUAGCCACAGGACUAAACUGUAAGCCGGGCCAGGUAUGAGAUGGGGAGAUUACAGGAGGGGCAUAAGGAGGUGGGUUGUGGGCAGAGAAAGAGUAGGGAGGCUCUGGGGGUGGGGGUUUGGGCCUGGAUUGGGGCCUGGUUCAGACAGACAGGGAGGAGAAAGGUUUGAAGGGUCGAUGGACAAAAAGGAUUCUGUGUUACUGACGGAAGCCAGAGAG